rnacentral:rRNA from 1 species
GACAGAGGCCUCGAGCGUUAGGCGGAAUCACUGGGCUUAAAGCGUGUGUAGGCGGGCCCGUAAGGGUCUUGUGAAAUCCCACGGCUCAACCGUGGAACUGCUGGGCAUACUGCGGGUCUUGGGCCAACUAGGGGCAGCCGGAACAAGCGGUGGAGCGGUGAAAUGCGUAGAUAUCGUUUGGAACGCCAAUGGUGAAAACAGGUCGCUGGGGAUGAGCUGACGCUGAGACACGAAAGCCAGGGGAGCAAACGGG